rnacentral:rRNA from 1 species
AUUGAACGCUGGCGGCAGGCUUAACACAUGCAAGUCGAGCGGAGAGAGGUAGCUUGCUACUGAUCUUAGCGGCGGACGGGUGAGUAAUGCUUAGGAAUCUGCCUAUUAGUGGGGGACAACAUUUCGAAAGGAAUGCUAAUACCGCAUACGUCCUACGGGAGAAAGCAGGGGAUCUUCGGACCUUGCGCUAAUAGAUGAGCCUAAGUCGGAUUAGCUAGUUGGUGGGGUAAAGGCCUACCAAGGCGACGAUCUGUAGCGGGUCUGAGAGGAUGAUCCGCCACACUGGGACUGAGACACGGCCCAGACUCCUACGGGAGGCAGCAGUGGGGAAUAUUGGACAAUGGGCGGAAGCCUGAUCCAGCCAUGCCGCGUGUGUGAAGAAGGCCUUAUGGUUGUAAAGCACUUUAAGCGAGGAGGAGGCUACUCUAGUUAAUACCUAGGGAUAGUGGACGUUACUCGCAGAAUAAGCACCGGCUAACUCUGUGCCAGCCGCCGCUGUAA